rnacentral:tRNA from 1 species
GGGAAUGCAUGGGUCCUGGUGGGCUCCAGGGACUUCAAAUCCCUUGUCGGGCACCCCACGGUGUCCGAGGUGGGUUCGAUUCCCACGCGUUCCCGCCA